rnacentral:rRNA from 1 species
CCUACGGGAGGCAGCAGUGAGGAAUAUUGGUCAAUGGACGAGAGUCUGAACCAGCCAAGUAGCGUGAAGGAUGACUGCCCUAUGGGUUGUAAACUUCUUUUAUAAAGGAAUAAAACGAGGCACGUGUGCCUUUUUGCAUGUACUUUAUGAAUAAAGAUCGGCUAACUCCGUGCCAGCAGCCGCGGUAAUACGGAGGAUCCGAGCGUUAUCCGGAUUUAUUGGGUUUAAAGGGAGCGUAGAUGGGUUGUUAAGUCAGUUGUGAAAGUUUGCGGCUCAACCGUAAAAUUGCAAUUGAUACUGGCAGUCUAGAGUACAGUUGAGGUAGGCGGAAUUCGUGGUGUAGCGGUGAAAUGCUUAGAUAUCACGAAGAACCCCGAUUGCGAAGGCAGCUUACUAAACUGUGACUGACAUUGAUGCUCGAAAGUGUGGGUAUCAAACAGGAUUAGAUACCCUGGUAGUC